rnacentral:lncRNA from 1 species
GUUUGCUUAUGGUCAGCCUGCUCCUGAGCACACAUACUGGAUCUGGGGAAGAGCAGAAAUGUCUCCAAGACACAGAGAAGUGUGUAUCUGUUGCUGCAAAGCCUCCUGUGUGAAGACGAAAGCAGGGAAGAGGCUGUGUAAAGACACGUGCUGGCCAAGACUCCAGCAGCAGCAAAGAGGGCUCCCCCUGAUAAAUUGUCACUGCAUGGCCUCAAGUACAGACCACCCCGAGGAACAGCCAAUCCCAGAAGGUGGAGUUUCCUCACAGAGGAUGACUUAGAUCUACCUUCUCCUUGCUCGUUUGCCCUCCAACCUGGAUUCUGUAUUCGCAUGCUACACCCAAACAGUAGCAGUUAGAAGCUGAGCUCCGUA